GAUGAACGCUGGCGGCGUGCCUAACACAUGCAAGUCGAGCGAACAGAUGAGGAGCUUGCUCCUCUGACGUUAGCGGCGGACGGGUGAGUAACACGUGGAUAACCUACCUAUAAGACUGGGAUAACUUCGGGAAACCGGAGCUAAUACCGGAUAAUAUAUUGAACCGCAUGGUUCAAUAGUGAAAGACGGUUUUGCUGUCACUUAUAGACUGAUCCGCGCCCCAUUCGCUAGUUGGUAAGGUAACGGGUUACCAACGCAACGAGGGGUACCCGACCUCAGAGGGAGGACGGACACCCUGGAAGUGAGGAACGGUCGAGACUCCUACGGUAGGCAGCAGUACGGAAUCUUACGCAAGGCAGGAGAGGCUGACAGAGCAACGCCGCGUGAGUGAUGAAGGUCUUCGGAUCGUAAAGCGCUGUUAUUAGGGGAGAACAAAUGUGUAAGUAACUGGGCACGUCAUGACGGUACCUAAAGAAAAAGCCCCGGCUAACUACGUG
rnacentral:rRNA from 1 species